rnacentral:rRNA from 1 species
CAGCCGCCGCGGUAAUACGUAGGUGGCAAGCGUUGUCCGGAAUUAUUGGGCGUAAAGCGCGCGCAGGCGGUUUCUUAAGUCUGAUGUGAAAGCCCCCGGCUUAACCGGGGAGGGUCGUUGGAAACUGGGAAACUUGAGUGCAGAAGAGGAGAGUGGAAUUCCACGUAUAGCGGUGAAAUGCGUAGAGAUGUGGAGGAACACCAGUGGCGAAGGCGACUCUCUGGUCUGUAACUGACGCUGAGGAGCGAAAGCGUGGGGAGCGAACAGGAUUAGAUACCCGUGUAGUCCCUGUCUCUUAUAC